AGCGGCGGACGGGUGAGUAACACGUGGGUAACCUGCCUGUAAGACUGGGAUAACUCCGGGAAACCGGGGCUAAUACCGGAUAACUCAUUUCCUCGCAUGAGGAAAUGUUGAAAGAUGGCUUCUUGCUAUCACUUACAGAUGGACCCGCGGCGCAUUAGCUAGUUGGUGAGGUAACGGCUCACCAAGGCAACGAUGCGUAGCCGACCUGAGAGGGUGAUCGGCCACACUGGGACUGAGACACGGCCCAGACUCCUACGGGAGGCAGCAGUAGGGAAUCUUCCGCAAUGGACGAAAGUCUGACGGAGCAACGCCGCGUGAGUGAUGAAGGUUUUCGGAUCGUAAAACUCUGUUGUUAGGGAAGAACAAGUACCGUUCGAAUAGGGCGGUA
rnacentral:rRNA from 1 species